rnacentral:rRNA from 1 species
AUUGAACGCUGGCGGAAUGCUUUACACAUGCAAGUCGAGCGGCAGCACGGGGGCAACCCUGGUGGCGAGCGGCGAACGGGUGAGUAAUACAUCGGAACAUGCCCAGUCGUGGGGGAUAACACUUCGAAAGAAGUGCUAAUACCGCAUACGUCCUGAGGGGGAAAGGGGGGGUUGGAAAGACCUCGGGGGAUGGGAUGGGCGGAUGUCAGAUUAGCUAGUUGGUGGGGUAAAGGCCUACCAAGGCAACGAUCUGUAGCUGGUCUGAGAGGAUGAUCAGCCACACUGGGACUGAGACACGGCCCAGACUCCUACGGGAGGCAGCAGUGGGGAAUUUUGGACAAUGGGGGCAACCCUGAUCCAGCCAUUCCGCGUGAGUGAAGAAGGCCUUCGGGUUGUAAAGCUCUUUCGGCAGGAACGAAACGGUGAGCUCUAACAUAGCUUGCUAAUGACGGUACCUGAAGAAGAAGCACCGGCUAACUACGUG